AGUGAACGCUGGCGGUAGGCCUAACACAUGCAAGUCGAACGGCAGCACAGUAAGAGCUUGCUCUUACGGGUGGCGAGUGGCGGACGGGUGAGGAAUACAUCGGAAUCUACUUUUUCGUGGGGGAUAACGUAGGGAAACUUAAGCUAAUACCGCAUACGACCUACGGGUGAAAGCAGGGGAUCUUCGGACCUUGCGCGAUUGAAUGAGCCGAUGUCGGAUUAGCUAGUUGGCGGGGUAAAGGCCCACCAAGGCGACGAUCCGUAGCUGGUCUGAGAGGAUGAUCGGCCACACUGGAAGUGAGACACGGUCCAGACUCCUACGGGAGGCAGCAGUGGGGAAUAUUGGACAAUGGGCGCAAGCCUGAUCCAGCCAUACCGCGUGGGUGAAGAAGGCCUUCGGGGUGUAAAGCCCUUUUGUUGGGAAAGAAAAGCAGCAGGUUAAGACCCCGCUGUUCUGACGGUACCCAAAGAAUAAGCACCGGCUAACUUCGUG
rnacentral:rRNA from 1 species